rnacentral:rRNA from 1 species
GACGAACGCUGGCGACGCGCUUAACACAUGCAAGUCGAACGGAAAGGCCUGCUUUCCCUUGUGGAUUGCGGGUACUCGAGUGGCGAACGGGUGAGUAACACGUGAGUGAUCUGCCCCCAACUUGGGUAUAAGCCUGGGAAACUGGGUCUAAUUCCCGAUAGGACUGCAGGGUGGUGCCUGUGGUGGAAAACGAUUUUCUAGUGGUUGGGGAUGAGCUCGCGGCCUAUCAGCUUGUUGGUGGGGUAAUGGCCUACCAAGGCGGCGACGGGUAGCCGGCCUGAGAGGGUGGACGGCCACAUUGGGACUGGGAUACGGCCCAGACUGCUACGGGAGGCAGCAGUGGGGAAUAUUGCACAAUGGGCGGAAGCCUGAUGCAGCGACGCCGCGUGGGGGAUGACGGCCUUCGGGUUGUAAACUCCUUUCGACCGCGAGGAAGCCACCUGGUUGGAAGGGUGGUGACGGUAGUGGUAGAAGAAGCACCGGCUAACUACGUG